GAUGAACGCUGGCGGCGUGCCUAAUACAUGCAAGUCGAGCGAAGCGGGGACGGGUGAGUAACACGUGGAUAACCUCCUAUAAGACGGGGAUAACUUCGGGAAACCGUAGCUAAACCGGAUACUUAUCGAUGGAUCCGCGCUGCAUUAGCUAGUUGGUAAGUUAACGGCUUACAAAGGCAACGAUGCAUAGCCGACCUGAGAGGGUGUGCGGCCAGACUGGAACUGAGACACGGCCCAGACUCCUACGAGAGGCCGGAGUAGGGAAUCUCCCGCAUUGGGCGAAAGCCUGACGGAGCAACGCCGCGUGAGUGAUGAAGGUUUUCGGCUCGUAAAACUCUGUUAUUAGGGAAGCGGUACCUAAUCAGAAAGCCACGGCUAAAUACGUGCCAGCAGCCGCGGUAAUUC
rnacentral:rRNA from 1 species